rnacentral:rRNA from 1 species
UACGUAGGGUGCAAGCGUUGUCCGGAAUUAUUGGGCGUAAAGAGCUCGUAGGCGGUUUGUCGCGUCUGCUGUGAAAACUCGGGGCUUAACUCCGGGCCUGCAGUGGGUACGGGCAGACUAGAGUGCGGUAGGGGAGACUGGAAUUCCUGGUGUAGCGGUGAAAUGCGCAGAUAUCAGGAGGAACACCGAUGGCGAAGGCAGGUCUCUGGGCCACUACUGACGCUGAGAAGCGAAAGCGUGGGGAGCGAACAGG